UCUUUAUGGGGUGACUGCGUACCUUUUGUAUAAUGGGUCAGCGACUUAUAUUCUGUAGCAAGGUUAACCGAAUAGGGGAGCCGAAGGGAAACCGAGUCUUAACUGGGCGUUAAGUUGCAGGGUAUAGACCCGAAACCCGGUGAUCUAGCCAUGGGCAGGUUGAAGGUUGGGUAACACUAACUGGAGGACCGAACCGACUAAUGUUGAAAAAUUAGCGGAUGACUUGUGGCUGGGGGUGAAAGGCCAAUCAAACCGGGAGAUAGCUGGUUCUCCCCGAAAGCUAUUUAGGUAGCGCCUCGUGAAUUCAUCUCCGGGGGUAGAGCACUGUUUCGGCAAGGGGGUCAUCCCGACUUACCAACCCGAUGCAAACUGCGAAUACCGGAGAAUGUUAUCACGGGAGACACACGGCGGGUGCUAACGUCCGUCGUGAAGAGGGAAACAACCCAGACCGCCAGCUAAGGUCCCAAAGUCAUGGUUAAGUGGGAAACGAUGUGGGAAGGCCCAGACAGCCAGGAUGUUGGCUUAGAAGCAGCCAUCAUUUAAAGAAAGCGUAAUAGCUCACUGGUCGAGUCGGCCUGCGCGGAAGAUGUAACGGGGCUAAACCAUGCACCGAAGCUGCGGCAGCGACACUAUGUGUUGUUGGGUAGGGGAGCGUUCUGUAAGCCUGUGAAGGUGUACUGUGAGGUAUGCUGGAGGUAUCAGAAGUGCGAAUGCUGACAUAAGUAACGAUAAAGCGGGUGAAAAGCCCGCUCGCCGGAAGACCAAGGGUUCCUGUCCAACGUUAAUCGGGGCAGGGUGAGUCGACCCCUAAGGCGAGGCCGAAAGGCGUAGUCGAUGGGAAACAGGUUAAUAUUCCUGUACUUGGUGUUACUGCGAAGGGGGGACGGAGAAGGCUAUGUUGGCCGGGCGACGGUUGUCCCGGUUUAAGCGUGUAGGCUGAUUUUCCAGGCAAAUCCGGAAAAU
rnacentral:rRNA from 1 species